rnacentral:lncRNA from 1 species
AGGGGUUUUCUUUUCUUUUUCUUUUCAUUUUUAAUUUAGGUUUUCUCUUUUCUUUUUAAAGUAGAUUUUAUUCUUUUAGUUUCUUUCUCCUUUUUGGUAAAACAAUUUGAAAAUAAAGAUGGAUGAAGCUUUUUGGUGCAAUUGGUUCCACAUCUAAAUGAAUAUUUCUUAACCUUAUCUCUAUAUCGUGCUUAUUAAAUG